rnacentral:misc_RNA from 1 species
GAUGAAGAACGUAGCGAAAUGCGAUAAGUAAUGUGAAUUGCAGAAUUCAGUGAAUCAUCGAAUCUUUGAACGCACAUUGCGCCCGCCAGUAUUCUGGCGGGCAUGCCUGUUCGAGCGUCAUUACAACCCUCAGGCCCCCGGGCCUGGCGUUGGGGAUCGGCGGAAGCCCCCUGCGGGCACAGCGCCGUCCCCCAAAUACAGUGGCGGUCCCGCCGCAGCUUCCAUUGCGUAGUAGCUAACACCUCGCAACUGGAGAGCGGCGCGGCCACGCCGUAAAACACCCAACUUCUGAAUGUUGACCUCGAAUCAGGUAGGAAUACCCGCUGAACUUAAGCAUAUCAAUAAGCGGAGGA